rnacentral:rRNA from 1 species
UACGAAGGGUGCAAACGUUGCUCGGAAUUAUUGGGCGUAAAGCGCACGUAGGCGGCUUGGCAAGUCGGAUGUGAAAUCCCUCGGCUCAACCAAGGAAGUGCAUCCGAAACUGCUGAGCUUGAGUACUUAAGAGGAUCGCGGAAUUCCCGGUGUAGAGGUGAAAUUCGUAGAUAUCGGGAGGAACACCAGUGGCGAAGGCGGCGAUCUGGGAAGAUACUGACGCUGAGGCGCGAAAGCUAGGGGAGCAAACAGG